rnacentral:rRNA from 1 species
CUACGGGUGGCAGCAGUGGGGAAUAUUGGACAAUGGGCGAAAGCCUGAUCCAGCCAUGCCGCGUGUGUGAAGAAGGCCUUCGGGUUGUAAAGCACUUUCAGUGGGGAAGAAAGCCUUGGGGCUAAUACCCUCGAGGAAGGACAUCACCCACAGAAGAAGCACCGGCUAACUCCGUGCCAGCAGCCGCGGUAAUACGGAGGGUGCGAGCGUUAAUCGGAAUUACUGGGCGUAAAGCGCGCGUAGGCGGUCUGAUAAGCCGGUUGUGAAAGCCCCGGGCUCAACCUGGGAACGGCAUCCGGAACUGUCAGGCUAGAGUGCAGGAGAGGAAGGUAGAAUUCCCGGUGUAGCAGUGAAAUGCGUAGAGAUCGGGAGGAAUACCAGUGGCGAAGGCGGCCUUCUGGACUGACACUGACGCUGAGGUGCGAAAGCGUGGGUAGCAAACAGGAUUAGAUACCCGUGUAGUC